UGAGGAAUAUUGGGCAAUGCCCGCAAGGGUGACCCAGCAACGCCGCGUGGAGGAUGAAUGUCGUAAGAUUGUAAACUCCUGUUAGAGGGGAAGAAUCGUACCGGUUGGACCGGUAUAUGACUGUACCCUCAGAGAAAGCCACGGCUAACUACGUGCCAGCAGCCGCGGUAAUACGUAGGGGGCAAGCGUUGUCCGGAUUUACUGGGUGUAAAGGGCGAGCAGGCGGGAUAAAAAGUCAGUGGUGAAAUCCUACAGCUUAACUGUAAAACUGCCUUUGNUACUUGUAUUCUUGAGUUCGGAAGAGGGAGACGGAAGUCCAGGUGUAGUGGUGAAAUACGUAGAUAUCUGGAAGAACACCAGUUGCGAAGGCGGUCUCUUUGUCCGACACUGACGCUGAGGCGCGAAAGCGUGAGGAGCAAACA
rnacentral:rRNA from 1 species